rnacentral:rRNA from 1 species
UACGAAGGGUGCAAACGUUGCUCGGAAUUACUGGGCGUAAAGGGCGCGUAGGCGGCCUGCUAAGUCAUACGUGAAAUCCCUCGGCUCAACCGAGGAACUGCGUCUGAUACUGGUUGGCUUGAAUUCGGGAGAGGGAUGCGGAAUUCCAGGUGUAGCGGUGAAAUGCGUAGAUAUCAGGAGGAACACCGGUGGCGAAGGCGGAUCUCUGGGCCUGUUCUGACGCUGAGGCGCGAAAGCUAGGGGAGCGAACAGG